GGCCAGGCAGCAAGGCUCCGCCAUUUCCAUAAGCCUCUCUUUGACUCUCCAACUCUCAAACUCCCUCCAUUUUCUUCUUCUUCUUCUUCCACGACCUCAAAAAUGCCUGGCUGCUUUAGCUUGACAGCGUCGCGCGACCGCUGCUUCCGCUACUCCUUCUCAUCGCACGGCCUAAAAUCCACCACCACCGAUUUGGGCGAAGGCACAAUCAUGCACUGCUGGGUCCCCAAAUCCCACUCCCAAUCCAAGCCUACGCUGCUCCUCAUCCACGGGAUCGGCGCCAACGCAAUGUGGCAGUGGCAUGAGUUCGUCGCCCCUCUAGCCUCCCGCUUCAACCUCUACAUCCCGGACCUUAUCUUCUUCGGCGACUCCUUCUCGACCCGACCCGACCGCUCCGAGACUUUUCAGGCCCAGUGCGUCGUGGGCCUCCUGGAGGCCCACGGGGUGAAGAAAAUGAGCGUCGCUGGGAUUAGCUAUGGUGGGUUUGUGGCCUACAGCAUGGCGGCGCAGUUUGGGGAGCGGAUAGAGAGGCUUGUGUUAUGCUGCGCCGGGGUGUGUACGGAGGAGAAGGAUAUGGAGAAGGGGAUGUUUCAGGUGAGGAGUGUGGAGGAGGCUGUGAGUAUUUUGCUGCCUCAGAGGCCUCAGCAGGUUAGGCAGCUGCUGAAGAUCUCUUUUCACAAGCCUGCUAAGAAUGUGCCCUCUUGUUUUCUCAAUGAUUUUAUUGAGGUAAGCAAAACUUUCUGAACCCUCCUUUUUUUUCUCUGAGAAUGAAAUUGCAUGUGUCUCUAUGUGUGUUUUGGGGUGUUUAAUUUGUUGGGUUUAAUUCAAAAGAGCAAAUUGGCAUCUUAAAAAAAACAAAGUUUCUUUCUUUCUUGCCUAAUGCAAGUUAAUAUAGUUGAUGCAUUGUACGAACAUACAUUUCAGUACCAUAUGUAUCUGGUUUGAAUAUUCACAGAGUAUCUGGGUCAUACAUGAAUCAUAGCCAAAUCAAUUGUCAAUUGGCUGAUUCGUACUCAUAAGAAACAAGAUAAAAUGAUGCUUCAAAACUGUGAAACUAGCAUCUAAUCAGUCACGGGAAGUGAUAUUUGUGUUUGGUGGAACACAACAAAACCCGUUUUGGUCCUGUUUGUAGGAUGAAGAUGGUAAAUUCAGAUUGACUCAUGCACAUAAUAACUUUCAUCUCUUUUGCCAAUAAUUUCUUUUUUGCGCUAUCAGAUUGCAUCUCUUUUGGACUAUGUUUUGCCUCACAUAAAGACAGAGCUUUCCUCUGUUAUUCAGGGAUAUGUGUCAAUCCCAAGUGUCAAUGGGAAAAUCUUUAGGCUGCCAAAGACUACAGUUCAUGGUCAUAAAGUGCUCAAAAUAUUGUUUGUUUACCGUUGAUUCUGUAAUGCAGCGGCAAGUGGUGCAAGUCCUGUUUGUUCAUAUUAAAUAAAGAUGUUGUUCAAUAUUUCUCAUUUCCCAAUAUUACGGGCGAUAUAGUAAUUUCACCUGAAACUUGUCUUAUGAGUUUCGGUUGACUGGCAGGUGAUGUGCACAGAACACCUUCAAGAGAGGAAAGGAUUGAUUCAAGCAUUGCACAAGGACAGAAAAUUGUCUGAUCUUCCCAAGAUAUCCCACGUAAUUUUCUAACAUGUUUUGAAUUUGGGGGCAUUGUGUUUAUCUUUUUGGUUUUGUGGAGUACUUAAAGGCAGAAUUUCUUCUUGAUGCAGCCUACACUAAUCAUCUGGGGAGAGCAUGACCUGGUAUUCCCACUGGAAUUGGCGCACCGAUUAAAAAGGUAAAUCGGGUGGGUUUAAUUAUUUCUAUAACAUUAUUUGUGUGUUAUUUCUAUAGAACAUUAUGAUUAAGACAAACCAAAAUCAUGUCCAUGUUUACUUUUUGGCCGGUUUAAGUUGACUUGGGCAAACAUUGGAAUUCAUCCAGUGGGAAGACCACUUCUAAACAUAAUUGCAUGGGUCUAUCUUCUAUGCAUCAAUUUUUUUCGGAAGUUUGGUCUUACUGUUCUUCCUCUGUUGCAGGCAAAUAGGUGAGAGUUCACAACUAGUGAUCUUAAAGAAUGCAGGACAUGCCAUAAAUGUAGAGAAACCGAAAGAGAUGUACAAGCACAUGAAGUCUUUCCUCAUUGAUCCUCUUCCUCCACCUAAACAAGAAAGCCACAGCAACGGCCGCAAGGUGGAUUGAAAUUUGAAGAGAAGGUGAAGAGCAAUCAAGAUGACUAGAUAAGUAACUGGUUUUCAUUUAAAACCUACAAUAUGAGAUAUGCUGGUGCGUAUUGUGGAUUAUGUGGUCAUUUUGUAUAUUUAUAAGACGAAAAGGUGUAUAUCAGCGCAGUAGAACUGGAUUACGCAGAUGUUUCUUUUAAUGAUUUCAUGAAAAUAUCAUGAGGGAAAUGUUUUCUUACUAGAUCGUCGGUGACAUAGGAUACUUGUAUUGCUAGACUAUGAAUCUAGACCAUUGGAUCAUAUUAAUUCUUACAUGAAUGCUUGCAACAUAAGCAACUAUUUGGCAAC
rnacentral:lncRNA from 1 species